ensembl:lincRNA
GUGUUGCCGUAAGGCUACUGAGCUCUCUGGGUGUCUAGCCUUGCCUUCUUGUCAUCAGCUAUUAAAACUACUAAAACAGAAGAAUGCUUAACCACUACAGCUGUUAAAACAUUAGUACGUGCUUUGUCUCAUGAGGCCAACACAGUACUUCAAAACCAAACACUUAUGAAUUUCUUCUCAACGAUCAUUGCUGCAGCCCCAGGGAAAAUCAAGACAGCUGUGAGUGGUCAUGGAAGCUCACAGAUCAUAAAUUUGAUGCUGGAAGAAGACUUUUCAUGCCUUUUCUUAGAGACAGGGUCUCACUCUGUCACCCAGGCUGGAGAGCAGGGGCGCAAUCAGAACUCACUGCAGCCUCCAACUCCUGGGCUCAAGCAAUCCUCCCACCUCCACCUCCUGAGUAACUGGAACUACAGGUACACACUACUACAUUUGGUUAUUAUUAUUUUUUCUUUUUUUGUAGAGAUUGGGUCUUGCUAUGUUUCCUGGGCUGGUCUUGGACUUCUGGCCUCAAGUGAUUCUGCUGCCUCAGCCUCCCAAAGUGCUGGGAUUAUAGGCAUGAGCCACUGUACCUGGCCAUGCCUUGUUUUUUAAGGUGCUUUUUCUUUCCUGUUUCCUUGAGCUCCAUAUUCACAUAUACAACUGAGUUCUGCACAGUUUCUCUUAGAACUUGCAAAGACAUUUUAAACUCAGUAAUUGAACAAACACAUUCUUUUCCCCCCUUUCACCACCAUACCCCCUUGUUUUCUGGACUAUAUUAUUCUGGCCCUAAAUUACUAUUUCUCUAUUGGUUCCUAUUUUGUGGUGUAAGUAACCAGUGCCCAGCCAGGUAUCUGAGCAUUUAUCUGCACUUUUCCUUGCCUCUCACUCUCCUCAUUCAUGCCAUCAUCAUGAACUACCUCCUAAAUAUUUUUCAAAGCCAUUUGCCAUAACCACAACAACUACCCCCCAUGUUCAGACUAUUAUCUUUUACCUUGUUCCCUUCAGCAACCUUUUCAUUUAUUUCAGUCUCAGGUCUUGCUCUCUUCAUAAAUGUAGGAUUGGGAAGAAGAAAAUUUUCUAGG